rnacentral:rRNA from 1 species
GGGGAAUAUUGCACAAUGGGGGAAACCCUGAUGCAGCGACGCCGCGUGGAGGAAGAAGGUCUUCGGAUUGUAAACUCCUGUUGUUGGGGAAGAUAAUGACGGUACCCAACAAGGAAGUGACGGCUAACUACGUGCCAGCAGCCGCGGUAAAACGUAGGUCACAAGCGUUGUCCGGAAUUACUGGGUGUAAAGGGAGCGCAGGCGGGAAGACAAGUUGGAAGUGAAAUCUAUGGGCUCAACCCAUAAACUGCUUUCAAAACUGUUUUUCUUGAGUAGUGCAGAGGUAGGCGGAAUUCCCGGUGUAGCGGUGGAAUGCGUAGAUAUCGGGAGGAACACCAGUGGCGAAGGCGGCCUACUGGGCACCAACUGACGCUGAGGCUCGAAAGUGUGGGUAGCAAACAGGAUUAGAUACCCUGGUAGUCCACACCGUAAACGAUGAUUACUAGGUGUUGGAGGAUUGACCCCUUCAGUGCCGCAGUUAACACAAUAAGUAAUCCACCUGGGGAGUACGACCGCAAGGUUGAAACUCAAAGGAAUUGACGGGGGCCCGCACAAGCAGUGGAGUAUGUGGUUUAAUUCGACGCAACGCGAAGAACCUUACCAAGUCUUGACAUCCCUUGACAGACAUAGAAAUAUGUAAUCUCUUCGGAGCAAGGAGACAGGUGGUGCAUGGUUGUCGUCAGCUCGUGUCGUGAGAUGUUGGGUUAAGUCCCGCAACGAGCGCAACCCUUAUGGUCAGUUACUACGCAAGAGGACUCUGGCCAGACUGCCGUUGACAAAACGGAGGAAGGUGGGGAUGACGUCAAAUCAUCAUGCCCUUUAUGACUUGGGCUACACACGUACUACAAUGGCGUAAACAGAGGGAAGCGAAGGAGUGAUCUGGAGCAAAUCUCAAAAAUAACGUCUCAGUUCGGAUUGUAGUCUGCAACUCGACUACAUGAAGCUGGAAUCGCUAGUAAUCGCAGAUCAGAAUGCUGCGGUGAAUACGUUCCCG